rnacentral:rRNA from 1 species
UACGAAGGGGGCUAGCGUUGCUCGGAAUCACUGGGCGUAAAGCGCACGUAGGCGGAUCUUUAAGUCAGGGGUGAAAUCCUGGAGCUCAACUCCAGAACUGCCCUUGAUACUGGGGAUCUUGAGUCCGGAAGAGGUGAGUGGAACUCCGAGUGUAGAGGUGAAAUUCGUAGAUAUUCGGAAGAACACCAGUGGCGAAGGCGGCUCACUGGUCCGGUACUGACGCUGAGGUGCGAAAGCGUGGGGAGCAAACAGGG